rnacentral:rRNA from 1 species
ACGGCUCAGUAACACGUGGACAACCUACCCUGAGGUCGGGGAUAAACCCGGGAAACUGGGUAUAAUACCCGAUAGAUCUAGAUUGCUAGAAUGCUUUUAGGUCUAAAGUUCCGACGCCUCAGGAUGGGUCUGCGGCCUAUCAGGGUAGUAGUGGGUGUAAAGUACCUACUAGCCUACGACGGGUACGGGUUGUGAGAGCAAGAGCCCGGAGAUGGAUUCUGAGACACGAAUCCAGGCCCUACGGGGUGCAGCAGGCGCGAAACCUUUACAAUGCUGGCAACAGCGAUAAGGGGACCUCGAGUGCUACGAUACAAUCGUGGCUGUCUAGUUGCCUAAAAAGCAAUUGAUAGCAAGGGCCGGGCAAGACCGGUGCCAGCCGCCGCGGUAACACCGGCGGCUCGAGUGGUAACCGCUAUUAUUGGGUCUAAAGGGUCUGUAGCCGGCUUAGUUAGUCUCUUGAGAAAUCUGGCCGCUCAACGGUCAGGCGUUCAGGGGAUACUGCUAAAGCUCGAGACCGGGAGAGGUGAGAGGUACUUCAGGGGUAGGGGUGAAAUCUUGUAAUCCUUGAAGGACCACCAGUGGCGAAGGCGUCUCACCAGAACGGAUCUGACGGCAAGGGACGAAAGCUAGGGGCACGAACCGGAUUAGAUACCCGGGUAGUCCUAGCCGUAAACGAUACUCGCUAGGUGUCGGCCACGGUGCGACCGUGGUCGGUGCCGUAGGGAAGCCGUGAAGCGAGCCACCUGGGAAGUACGGCCGCAAGGCUGAAACUUAAAGGAAUUGGCGGGGGAG